GGGUCUACCCAUUGGUCAGGCUUAAUUGUCUGUACUGGUGAGAUGGAUCUCUACCUUCUGAGGAACUUUCAUGCCAUUUAUUUGGUGUGGUUGGAAAUCAGGACUGUUACUUUGAGAAAAUUAGAGUGUUUAAAGCAGACUACCGUCUGAAUACAUUAACAUGGAAUAAUGAAAUAGGACGGCCUGAUUCUAUUUCGUUGGUUUCUAGGAUCACCGUA
rnacentral:rRNA from 1 species